rnacentral:rRNA from 1 species
UGGGGAAUAUUGGACAAUGGGCGAAAGCCUGAUCCAGCCAUGCCGCGUGUGUGAAGAAGGUCUUCGGAUUGUAAAGCACUUUAAGUUGGGUGGAAGGGCAGUAAGCGAAUACCUUGCUGUUUUGACGUUACCGACAGAAUAAGCACCGGCUAACUCUGUGCCAGCAGCCGCGGUAAUACAGAGGGUGCAAGCGUUAAUCGGAAUUACUGGGCGUAAAGCGCGCGUAGGUGGUUCGUUAAGUUGAAUGUGAAAGCCCCGGGUUCAACCUGGUAGCAGCAUCCAGAACGUGCGAGCUAGAGUAGGGCAGAGGGUGGUGGAAUUUCCUGUGUAGCGGUGAAAUGCGUAGAUAUAGGAAGGAACACCAGUGGCGAAGGCGACCACCUGGGCUCAUACUGAAACUUAGGUGCGAAAGCGUGGGGAGCAAACAGG